UACAGAGGGGGCAAGCGUUAUUCGGAAUUAUUGGGCGUAAAGAGCGUGUAGGCGGUCCGGUAAGUCAGCUGUGAAAGUCAAGGGCUCAACCCUUGAAUGCCGGUUGAUACUGUCGGGCUAGAGUCCGGAAGAGGCGAGUGGAAUUCCCGGUGUAGCGGUGAAAUGCGCAGAUAUCGGGAGGAACACCAAUGGCGAAGGCAGCUCGCUGGGACGGUACUGACGCUGAGACGCGAAAGCGUGGGGAGCAAACAGG
rnacentral:rRNA from 1 species